AUUUCCCCCUCUCUUUUACAUCACCAUUCUUUUGGGGGGGGGCUUGCUAUCUGAAUGCAACGAUCAAGAAGAAGGCUGUGGGGGGUGCAUUGAGGGUGAGACUUUGUGGGAAUGAGACCAGAAGUCCGCAUGACGACCGCUGCUUGGAAAGUUUUUUUCCCUCCCUCUCCACCCCCCCUCCGGGAUUGCAGACUUCAAACAACUCCUCUUUCAGCAAGAUGCAAACACGUCUGCGGUGGAGGAAAUUAAACGUCAUAAAGAAAAGCCCAAUUAGGGUUUAAUGUCUCAACAUUACUGUUUCCUCCAGAAAACAAUGAAGUUCGCUCGAAAGCGCCCCCUCCCUCUCAAUGGCAAAGCUGUUCUCAUUAUGGUGAAAGAUAAGGAAACAUAUGAAAAAUGGCUGGAGUCCUUGUUUUGGCUGAGACGGAGGAGAAGAGCAGGUUCGCUUCCUUACUACCGCAAGAUGGUGGAGGGGAGCAUGAGAAUUAAAUCUCGAUCGAGGUCAACCCAUAAUUUUGGGUUAUCCAGCAGCCUACUUGCAAUGUUCCCUACGAAACGAGUCACUAUGAGGAGACAUCAUUAUGUGCACAUCCUUGAAGUCAACGGGAACUCCGAGUUUAAAAUAUUUAGUAUCGCGCUACUAGCAUUUAAAGGUAUUUUAAGAACAAAGCCAAACAAAUCUGCAUCCUUUUCCAGCGUGGAGUGGACGCACAAUUUUGGAUUUGGUCUCCCUACAGCCAUCCCUCUCGCUUACUGAAAUGGACAAUGAGACCAUGUGAGUUCCUAAACUCCUUACUGUAAAAAAAUAUCCUGUUAUAUGCAGACACAGAAUAGCAGUUUUGAAGAAGUCCCAAAGGGAGUAUGUCUGAUAAAGAAAGCAGAAUGGUGGAAUGUGCGAGUGAGGGAGAGAAUAGAAGCAUCAAACAGCACUUUGUUUGGUUCUGAAUCCUAGUAGGAGGAAGUCAAUAACUAAAGCAAUAUAAAGUUACUAAGAAACCAGAUAUUUAAAAUUUCUGUUUAGUAAGUCACUCUAUAUGUAUGUAUGUAUAUAUGUAUAUAUGUAUAAAGAGAGAGGGAGGGGGAGAGAUGAGAGAGAGAGAUUAUAGACGUCUGGUAUUUAAUAAAAAGAGGGCAUAAAAAUGGGGAGGGCGACAGCUGUAAUACAAGUAAAUAGUCAAAGGCACGAUCCAGCCAAAGACGGUCACUUUUAAAUUAAGUUCAGUGUGUGUGUGUGAAUAAAGUAUGUCCCUCAGUGACAUUGGUGGGAUUUUACUGCGACCGGAUCGUGACCACAAUAAUUCGACUUCAUAAGUGGAACGGCAUGCAGAGAAAUACAGUAUCUGAGUUUUGUUCCGAGUAAUUUUUAAAAACUAAGUACCUCAUUUUAGAAAUAGAAUUUGAGAUUUCAAGAAGGCUUUCCAAGGGAAUGCACACGAUUGAAAGUUAAAUGCAUUACUGCACUCACCCCCUUGCAACUUUAUUGUUAAAGGACAGAAUCUGGAUCUUUACUGGAUAAUUUAGAUCUUGUACCCCACUGAAAGUAACUCAUCUACCGCUAAUUUCUAGAAACCAUGAGACAUAAUAAUUCACGAGAUUUGAAAACAAAACAAAAAGCACAGAUAGAGACAUGCGUUUGUAGUUGCAUUUCAUGCGAAUUUCCAACAAUUGAUGUCUGGAGAUGCACUUGUGGGCUAUCAAGUUACUUUCAACUGUUUGCAUAUGCAUAUAUUGAGGGACACUUACAUUUCACGAGAGAGAGAGAGAGAGAGAGAGAGAGAGAGAGAGAGAGAGAGAGAGAGAGAGAGAGAGACUGCCUUGCGCACGCGCACAUGUCCCCAUGCAAACAAAGAGGCUGAUAUUUCAUAGCAUUGCCAAAAGGCGCUCUGAAGUAAUGAGCAUUCCUUAUAGCUGGUUUCUAUGUUUGCAGAAUGUCACCACAUAACUAUCCCAGGCAUUCUGUUUCAUUUUAUUCUGAUAAAUGUGGAUACUGGGGUUGAUUCCAGCACUACUGACUUACAACGGGGAGCGGGUAAGCUAUUGAAGUUUCUUUCCGCCCCUCCCCUGCAAAAACGUUGAGAUUUCACUUUGAUCACGGUGUGUCUGAUGGGAACAAGGCUGCCUGCUGGCUGAAAUGAAAGAAAUGUAGGUAUCAAGGUACACUAAAAAACAUCCAGCUCAUGCACACAACCAAAAGCAGAAUAUUUCAUAUAGUUAAAACCCUUUUCGCAAAAUCUCACUCACAGUGGCUGCUAUGGCUUCCUUCACACAAUCUAAUAAGAAGUUAUCCCGUUACAAUAAAGCUUAUAUCGUGCGUACGGAUAUAUUUGCUAAUAAAACUGGACUUUCAAGCGAAGCAAAAUUUCCUUAGAUGGGACUUGAUGAUCCACAUCCCGAGAACCUCAUCCAGACAAUAAAGCAUUUUUUAAAUAUAUGCAAGUCUAUUCACUCUCUGCGUGUUGUAGAAUUUUUUAUUAUUUAAAACGUUGGGUGCUUUUAAAAUGUUUGUGUAUUAUGUUGGUCAAUGGCCCACUUUCUUUGUUAUUUUCUUUUGAACACAAUUCAGUGCAGCUAUUCUUUUUGAAAGGAACCUGAAACACACCGAAAAUUGGCUUCUUGGGUGAAUUACUAGGUCCCCUUUCAUUUGGAAAGCGGAAUAAGCCAUUGGCAAACUCCAAUGAACUUGGCUUUGUAGCAUAUAUAUGUAGCAUAGUGUGUCUGGGCUGGAGGGGUCGGCCAAAUAUGUUGGUGCAAGAGUUCCUUUUAUUCGCUUCUAGCUUGCUAACUAGUGGAACUGACCUAACGAUCCUUACAUGUAUAUUGAUAUGGCGCAACCCAAAGCACGUUUUUAUUGGGAGCAAAGCCAAGCAACCCUAUGUAGACAAUGGGCCUCAAUUGAACUUGCUUGUGUGCAUAGGAUCAGACCCCACUGAGCAGUCACUGCACUUUAUUAUUCAUUGCAAUAUGCCAAGUAUCAUUUGCAA